rnacentral:rRNA from 1 species
UACGUAGGGUGCAAGCGUUAAUCGGAAUUACUGGGCGUAAAGCGUGCGCAGGCGGCUUUGCAAGACAGAUGUGAAAUCCCCGGGCUUAACCUGGGAACUGCAUUUGUGACUGCAUGGCUGGAGUGCGGCAGAGGGGGAUGGAAUUCCGCGUGUAGCAGUGAAAUGCGUAGAUAUCGGGAGGAACACCAGUGGCGAAGGCGGGUACCUGGGCCUAUACUGACACUAAGACGCGAAAGUUAGGGGAGCAAACAGG